rnacentral:misc_RNA from 1 species
UGGUUCUGGCAUCGAUGAAGAACGCAGCGAAAUGCGAUAAGUAAUGCGAAUUGCAGAAUUUCCGUGAGUCAUCGAAUCUUUGAACGCACAUUGCGCCCUUUGGCAUUCCGAAGGGCAUGCCUGUCCGAGCGUCAUUAUCCUCCCUCAAACCCCCGUGUUUGAUGUUGGGCCACGGCGGAGGCUUCUUUGGCCUCUCCCGCCGGGCCCCAAAGACAAUGACGGCGUCCGUGGGACCCUCUUCGCACCGAGCUUUCCGGAGCACGCGUCGAGUCUCAAGGUCCCGGGGACCCGGUCACCUCUUUUUCAACUUCUCAGGUUGACCUCGGAUCAGGUAGGGAUACCCGCUGA